UAUAUCGCUCUCUCUCUGUUUGCUAUUUUUUUUUGUUUUGAUGGGUUCCUUAUUUCUAUUUUUUUUUCUGUGUAUUAAUGCAUACUGGUUGUUGAUGGGUGAUCUCUCUCUUUCUCCCCUUUGUUCCUUGUUUUUUUGAAGAGAUGCUCUGUCUCUGUAUAGUUCUUACUUCUAAGUUUUCUGACAUGAAUAAUGUGAAGGCUAAUAAAUCUGCACACAAAGAUUACGUUCGUGACUUGAGGUACGUGUUUGUGACUCUCUACAAAAAAAAAAAGAAAAAUUUAGCUUUUGAUCGUUUAACUUUUAGUUGCAAGCAGACAUGUACUUAUUAAUCAUCCAUGGGCAAUAUAUGGACUUACUCUUUUAGCUGUGGGCUUAUCUUCUUGUUCUUGAUGAAACCAUUGCUUCAUGAUCUCAUAUUAUAGUUUGCACUUUCCAUCUCAGUAUUACUAUACUAAGUUCGGUUAAUAGGUCUUAUGUGUUGAGACUGGUGCUCAAUAUGUUUCCUACAAAUCAUGUUUCUUUUAGUUUAAGGAAGUAAGGAUGGGAACUGGGAGUGUUCAGGGAUAAAAGUGGCCAUAAAAUUAUAGUGCUGAUGAUCAACUUUGGGGUCACUGCUUUCUCAAGGACUGGGGCUAUGAAGACCAUGCAGUCAUGCAUUUUUGUAUGGGGCCUCUUAGGAUUACUUUUUAUAAAGGGAAUGUUAUCAAUGUCAUUUGAUGGGAGAUUAAUGGUCUCCCAUACUCCCAUUAUAUUUAGCAUUAUUAUUUUAUGGUAGGAAGGACAUUUCGUGGUUGAUUGCUGGAUAGUUGUCUCUGCGCAUGGCCCUGCUAAUGAUGUGGGGGCAGGUUAGCAAAUCAUGGAUAUCCGGAUGAUCAUGAGGGGCAUUUUGAUCCUAUAUAGCAUUUUCUUUCAUUUGGUGAUGAUAUUCUUUUGCUGUAAAGAGAGGUUUUUUUAAUAUACCUGCUGGGAGGAUCUCUUGCUUUUUUGUUACUUCAGCAAAUCUUUGGGAUGAGUUAAUUUUUUUUUUUUGGAUCUUUUGAGAAUGUCCGCAUGAAGGCUCAUAGUGCAAAUUAAUAUGCUUUUGUUUGAGUUCACCAAAUGCUAUUGUGUUGAUUCUACGUAUACCUAUACAAGCACACAUCGAUGUUCGUAGACUCCGAGAUGCAUGCAUUAUUUUUUAAAGGCUUGUUGAUGCAUGCAUAAUUGUUUGUCAGACAAUUCUUUUUCCUUAACAAGGUAUAAUAGUCCAUUAACUUAAUUCUCCAAUGUUACUAUCUCGACCAUACUCACCAUUUAAACCUUUAUCAUAUUUUCAGUUCUAUGAUGCUGGGAAGGAGCUUGAAUCUUAUCGUGGACAUCGCAAGGAUGUAACUGGUUACUUGGUUUUACUUUGUAACAACUGACAAGUAACAAAUUCAUUUGGUUGUGUGCUAAUUGUGGACUCAAUUGCUGCCAGCCAAUGGAUAGGCAUGAAAAACCUCAUGAUGAAGUGAAUAAUGCACAUGAAAGCAGUAUGCGGGAACUUGCUCGGCAUCUUAUUGGCUAUAUCCUUUACAAGUGAUCAUUGUUCUUGUUCUGGUGGCGGCAAUAACCACACAACCAGGUUUUUGUGUAGAAACUGACCAGGAGAUACUUCUCGUGAGAAACAUGUUGCUAGCUACAAUCAAGGCCGCCUAUCAAGCAAUUUCCCAUUACUAGAAGCCGCAACCAUAAGAAAUUGUGCGGGAGCUUAUGUAUGGGAAAGUGUCUAUCAAUGGAAAACCUACUCAGGCUAUGAUAGACACCUUUCAUAAUUGGAGAGCAUGACAUACCUUUCAAAAAUACAAAAUGGAGGGCAUGAGAUGGGUAGGAAAGCAUGAGGAAUGAGGGAUAACACCUUUUCUAAUAGCAACUAUGGCUUACUCUGCAACAUGUAUAUGCCCAAGUCACAUUACUUCUUCCUUAAAGCAUAAUAAUUGGUUUUAGAUGUGUAUUUUUACUUGGAGAAUAUAAAGCCUAUUUUCUGCA